CGGUAGCUAAUACCGCAUAACGUCGCAAGACCAAAGUGGGGGACCUUCGGGCCUCAUGCCAUCAGAUGUGCCCAGAUGGGAUUAGCUAGUAGGUGGGGUAACGGCUCACCUAGGCGACGAUCCCUAGCUGGUCUGAGAGGAUGAUCAGCCACACUGGAACUGAGACACGGUCCAGACUCCUACGGGAGGCAGCAGUGGGGAAUAUUGCACAAUGGGCGCAAGCCUGAUGCAGCCAUGCCGCGUGUAUGAAGAAGGCCUUCGGGUUGUAAAGUACUUUCAGCGGGGAGGAAGG
rnacentral:rRNA from 1 species